AAUGGCAGUUCAGGACUCUGACCAAUGGAUGGCGCUUAUCCCUCAGAAAGUUGCAGACUUAUCACGUCCCUUCUGUAAAGACUGUCGCUGAAAAGUGUCUUGCUCUCUCCAAGCCAGAGGUGAAAAUUAAUGCUGGUAGUUCAGUGGGGGUGUGAAACUGUUUCUUUACACUGAUAAUGAAUUCUGCCCCAUAGUGAUUAAAAGAGGUUUUGAAUACCCA